rnacentral:sRNA from 1 species
GCCCCUUAUACGCUGGGCUACACACGUGCUACAAUGGGUAGAACAGAGAGUCGCAAAGCUGUGAAGUGGAGCUAAUCUCAGAAAACUAUUCUUAGUUCGGAUUGUACUCUGCAACUCGAGUACAUGAAGUUGGAAUCGCUAGUAAUCGCGAAUCAGCAAUGUCGCGGUGAAUACGUUCUCGGGUCUUGUACACACCGCCCGUCACACCACGAGAGUUGGUUGCACCUGAAGUAGCAGGCCUAACCGUAAGGAGGGAUGCUCCGAGGGUGUGAUUAGCGAUUGGGGUGAAGUCGUAACAAGGUAUCCGUACGGGAACGUGCGGAUGGAUCACCUCCUUUCUAAGGAGUAUAAGUCUUUCUCUAUUCUAUUGGUAAUGUUCUUACAUUACUUCUGAACAUUGGAAACUAUAUAGUAGAACAAACAAGAAAAAAAUUAACUCUAACAAUUUCUUAGAGUUAGCUGUCAAAAAAUAGGUUAAAAUAAUUAAGGGCACACAAAGGAUGCCUAGGUAGUAAGAGCCGAUGAAGGACGUGGUAAGCUGCGAUAAGCCUAG